rnacentral:tRNA from 1 species
GGGGAUUUAGCUCAGUGGUAGGGCGCUUGCCUAGCAAGUGCAAGGCCCUGGGUUCAGUCCCCA